GACGAACGCUGGCGGCGCGCUUAACACAUGCAAGUCGAACGGAAAGGCCUGCUUUCCCUUGUGGAUUGCGGGUACUCGAGUGGCGAACGGGUGAGUAACACGUGAGUGAUCUGCCCCCAACUUGGGUAUAAGCCUGGGAAACUGGGUCUAAUUCCCGAUAGGACUGCAGGGUGGUGCCUGUGGUGGAAAACGAUUUUCUAGUGGUUGGGGAUGAGCUCGCGGCCUAUCAGCUUGUUGGUGGGGUAAUGGCCUACCAAGGCGGCGACGGGUAGCCGGCCUGAGAGGGUGGACGGCCACAUUGGGACUGAGAUACGGCCCAGACUCCGACGGGAGGCAGCAGUGGGGAAUAUUGCACAAUGGGCGGAAGCCUGAUGCAGCGACGCCGCGGGGGGGAUGACGGCCUUCGGGUGGUAAACUCCUUUCGACCGCGAGGAAGCCACCUGGUUGGAAGGGUGGUGACGGUAGUGGUAGAAGAAGCACCGGCUAACUACGUG
rnacentral:rRNA from 1 species